rnacentral:rRNA from 1 species
GACGAACGCUGGCGGCGUGCUUAACACAUGCAAGUCGAACGGAAAGGCCCUGCCUUUGUGGGGUGCUCGAGUGGCGAACGGGUGAGUAACACGUGAGUAACCUGCCCUUGACUUUGGGAUAACUUCAGGAAACUGGGGCUAAUACCGGAUAGGAGCUCCUGCUGCAUGGUGGGGGUUGGAAAGUUUCGGCGGUCGGGGAUGGACUCGCGGCGUAUCAGCUUGUUGGUGGGGUAGUGGCUUACCAAGGCUUUGACGGGUAGCAGGCCUGAGAGGGUGACCGGCCACAUUGGGACUGAGAUACGGCCCAGACUCCUACGGGAGGCAGCAGUGGAGAAUAGUGCACAAUGGGCGGAAGGCUAAUGCAGCAACGCCGCGUGCGGGAUGACGGCCUUCGGGUUGUAAACCGCUUUCGCCUGUGACGAAGCGUGAGUGACGGUAAUGGGUAAAGAAGCUCCGGCUAACUACGUG